AUACCAUGGUGAGGGCAUUCUAACAAGAGAUCCUUGAACCUUUCCAUGAACCUAGAAAAUGGCUCAUGUGGUUUUUGCUUAAAUUGGAGUAUGUCACUCUUGAGUUU